AACGAACGCUGGCGGCAGGCUUAACACAUGCAAGUCGAGCGCCCCGCAAGGGGAGCGGCAGACGGGUGAGUAACGCGUGGGAAUCUACCUUUUGCUACGGAAUAACUCAGGGAAACUUGUGCUAAUACCGUAUGUGCCCUUCGGGGGAAAGAUUUAUCGGCAAAGGAUGAGCCCGCGUUGGAUUAGCUAGUUGGUGAGGUAAAGGCUCACCAAGGCGACGAUCCAUAGCUGGUCUGAGAGGAUGAUCAGCCACACUGGGACUGAGACACGGCCCAGACUCCUACGGGAGGCAGCAGUGGGGAAUAUUGGACAAUGGGCGCAAGCCUGAUCCAGCCAUGCCGCGUGAGUGAUGAAGGCCCUAGGGUUGUAAAGCUCUUUCAACGGU
rnacentral:rRNA from 1 species